rnacentral:rRNA from 1 species
UCUCAAAGAUUAAGCCAUGCAUGUGUAUGUGUAAGUAUCAAAGUUUGGAACUGAGAAUGGCUCAUUAUAUCAGUUAUAGUUUAUUUGGUGGAGUGUACUAGGAGGAUAGCCGUAAUAAUUGUAGGGAUAAUACAUGAGAAAGUCCUCUGGUGAGGGGUGUUUAUUUGAAAGAAAACCCCAUGCCUCGGCAUGAUAGUGAGUAAUAGUAACCUAU